GACGAACGCUGGCGGCGUGCUUAACACAUGCAAGUCGAACGGUAAGGCCCUUCGGGGUACACGAGUGGCGAACGGGUGAGUAACACGUUGGUGAUCUGCCCUGCACUUCGGGAUAAGCCUGGGAAACUGGGUCUAAUACCGGCUAGGACUCCUGGCUUCAUGGUUGGGGGUGGAAAGCUUUUGCGGUGUGGGAUGGGCCCGCGGCCUAUCAGCUUGUUGGUGGGGUAAUGGCCUACCAAGGCGACGACGGGUAGCCGGACUGAGAGGGUGACCGGUCACACUGGGACUGAGAUACGGCCCAGACUCCUACGGGAGGCAGCAGUGGGGAAUAUUGCACAAUGGGCGCAAGCCUGAUGCAGCGACGCCGCGUGAGGGAUGACGGCCUUCGGGUUGUAAACCUCUUUCAGCUAUGACGAAGCGCAAGUGACGGUAGUAGCAGAAGAAGGACCGGCCAACUACGUGCCAGCCGCCGCCGUAA
rnacentral:rRNA from 1 species